rnacentral:rRNA from 1 species
UACAGAGGUCCCAAGCGUUGUUCGGAUUCAUUGGGCGUAAAGGGUGCGUAGGCGGCGCGGUAAGUCGGGUGUGAAAUCUCGGGGCUUAACUCCGAAACUGCAUUCGAUACUGCCGUGCUUGAGGACUGGAGAGGAGACUGGAAUUUACGGUGUAGCGGUGAAAUGCGUAGAUAUCGUAAGGAAGACCAGUGGCGAAGGCGGGUCUCUGGACAGUUCCUGGCGCUGAGGCACGAAGGCCAGGGGAGCAAACGGG